rnacentral:rRNA from 1 species
ACUCAAAUGAAUAGACGGGGGCCCGCACAAGCAGCGGAGCGUGUGGUUUAAUUCGAGGCUACCCGAAGAACCUUACCUGGGUUUGACAUCACCGUGGUAGCGAGACGAAAGUGGAGCGACCUUCGGGAGCGGUGACAGGUGCUGCAUGGCUGUCGUCAGCUCGUGUCGUGAGAUGUACGGUUAAGUCCGCAAACGAGCGCAACCCCCGGCAGUAGUUACACGGUUGUCUACUGCGACUGCCCGUGAGAAACGGGAGGAAGGUGGGGAUGACGUCAAGUCAGCAUGGCCUUGAUAUCCAGGGCGACACACACGCUACAAUGGACGGUACAGCCGGGAGCGAAGGCGCGAGCCGGAGCCAAUCCGCCAAAGCCGUUCGUAGUUCGGAUUGCAGGCUGCAACCCGCCUGCAUGAAGUUGGAGUUGCUAGUAACCGCCGGUCAGCCAAACGGCGGUGAAUACGUUCCCGGGCCUUGUACACACCGCCCGU